UACGUAGGGUGCGAGCGUUAUUCGGAAUUACUGGGCGUAAAGGGUGCGCAGGCGGCGUCGCAAGUCAGGCGUGAAAUCCCCGGGCUUAACCUGGGAACUGCACUUGAAACUACGAUGCUUGAGUAUGGCAGAGGGAGGUGGAAUUCCACGUGUAGCGGUGAAAUGCGUAGAGAUGUGGAGGAACACCGAUGGCGAAGGCAGCUUCCUGGGCCAAUACUGACGCUCAUGCACGAAAGCGUGGGGAGCAAACAGG
rnacentral:rRNA from 1 species